GGACGGACGCUCCGGGAAGCGCCCGACUCCCCAGGAGCAAAGUUGGACCCGCGGCCCCCGGCCCUGAGCGGGUAGCAGUUGGCAAUGUGCAAGACGGUAUCCCACCUCACCCCACCCCCCAACUUUUUUUGUUGUUGUUGUUUAGGAUCAGGUACUCGCCGGCUACCACCGAGAGAGCCCAGAUCCUUUCUCCUGGGUUUCAGGGGGAGGAGGUAGCAAUCAGAAAGGCACCAUACCUCUUAAGGACUAAUGUUCCCUAAUGCUUAGCGGCUUCUCAGAAACUAGGUCUUCUCAAACCUGUUAAGGAAGAGUUGAACAGUCUACCCAACAGUUAACAGCUUCAUACUUUAAAAAAAAUUUUAUGUUGCUUACAAUAAAGUUACAUAUUUACUAAA